rnacentral:rRNA from 1 species
UACAACAUAGAAUUAAUGCACCAUAUACCAUUAGAACUCUGCAGUUAAGCACGCUCAGGAUAAAGUAGUACUAGGAUGGGUGACUGCCCGGGAAUUCCUAUUGUUUUAC